AAUGAACGUUGGCGGCGUGGAUUAGGCAUGCAAGUCGAGCGCGAACCCCGCAAGGGGUGAAAGCGGCGAAAGGGAUAGUAACACGUAGAUUACCUACCCUCGGGUCCUGGAUAGCUGCGGGAAACUGCAGGUAAUACAGGAUGACAUCUCCGGAUCAAAGGUGUGAUUCCGCCCGAGGAUGGGUCUGCGUCCUAUUAGCUUGUUGGUGGGGUAAUGGCCUACCAAGGCAAUGAUGGGUAGUGGGUGUGAGAGCCCGACCCGCGUCACUGGGACUGGGACACUGCCCAGACACAUACGGGUGGCUGCAGUCGAGGAUCUUCGGCAAUGGGCGCAAGCCUGACCGAGCGACGCCGCGUGCGGGAUGAAGGCCUUCGGGUUGUAAACCGCUGUCAGAGGGGAUGAAAUGCAGGUGGGUUCUCCCAUUUGUUUGACAUAUCCUCAGAGGAAGUACGGGCUAAGUUCGUGCCAGCCGCCGCCGUAACAC
rnacentral:rRNA from 1 species